rnacentral:misc_RNA from 1 species
GUGAAUCAUCGAAUCUUUGAACGCAUAUUGCACUCUCUGGUAUUCCGGAGAGUAUGCCUGUUUGAGGGUCAUUAAAAACAAUCUUCAACGAGUUUUUUUGGUUAAGUGAAAUGAGUUCUCCGUGUGUAUAGCGGUAGCUUGAAAUAAAUGGUCAAGCCUCAGUUUAGUCGUGUCGCGUAAUAAUAUUUUUUCGCGAAAUCGUC